GGGGUAGAAGCUCAGUGGUUGAGCAAUCGAUUGCAGUUUAUCUUGCUUACGCAUUGAUUACGUCAUCGAUAGGCCGUGUGUUCGAUCCACACCUGCCCCU
rnacentral:tRNA from 1 species